ACCUGGUUUCACAGUGGUUAGAGUUUGGCUGCUAACCAAAAGGUCAGCAGUUCGAAUCUACCAGGUG
rnacentral:tRNA from 1 species